rnacentral:tRNA from 1 species
AAAUAGGUAAGCUAAACCCCCAAGCUAAUGGGUUCAUACCCCAUAUAUAGGAAAAAUCCUCCUCUUUA